CACGUAGUUAGCCGGUGCUUCUUCUCCACCUACCGUCACCCCGAAGGGCUUCGUCGGUAGCGAAAGGAGUUUACAACCCGAAGGCCUUCAUCCCCCACGCGGCGUUGCUGCAUCAGGCUUGCGCCCAUUGUGCAAUAUUCCCCACUGCUGCCUCCCGUAGGAGUCUGGGCCGUAUCUCAGUCCCAAUGUGGCCGUACACCCUCUCAGGCCGGCUACCCGUCGCCGCCUUGGUAGGCCAUUACCCCACCAACAAGCUGAUAGGCCGCGAGCUCAUCCUCAACCACAAAAGCUUUCCACCAUGAACACUAAAUCAUGGUCCUAUCCGGUAUUAGACCCAGUUUCCCAAGCUUAUCCCGAAGUUGAGGGCAGAUCACCCACGUGUUACUCACCCGUUCGCCACUCGAGUACCCCAGCAAGCUGGGGCCUUCCGUUCGACUUGCAUGUGUUAAGCACGCCGCCAGCGUUCGUCCUGAGCCAGGAUCGAAACU
rnacentral:rRNA from 1 species